AACGAACGCUGGCGGCGUGCCUAACACAUGCAAGUCGAGCGAUUCUCUUCGGAGAAGAGCGGCGGACGGGUGAGUAACGCGUGGGUAACCUGCCCUGUACACACGGAUUACAUACCGAAAGGUAUGCUAAUACGAGAUAAUAUACUUUUAUCGCAUGGUAGAAGUAUCAAAGCUUUUGCGGUACAGGAUGGACCCGCGUCUGAUUAGCUAGUUGGUAAGGUAACGGCUUACCAAGGCGACGAUCAGUAGCCGACCUGAGAGGGUGAUCGGCCACAUUGGAACUGAGACACGGUCCAAACUCCUACGGGAGGCAGCAGUGGGGAAUAUUGCACAAUGGGCGAAAGCCUGAUGCAGCAACGUCGCGUGAGCGAUGAAGGCCUUCGGGUCGUAAAGCUCUGUCCUCAAGGAAGAUAAUGACGGCACUUGAGGAGGAAGCCCCGGCUAACUACGUGCCAGCCGCCGCGGUAA
rnacentral:rRNA from 1 species